AUUAAGCAUUUUUGUCGUUAGCCAAGCUGGAGUCACAGUGCCUAUGUCCGAGUAUCGGAACCAUCUGAAGAAAUGCCACUCAAAACAUUUUCCCCUCCUACCACUAUAACGCUCCAGAGCAAGUGAUUCCAGUUUUUCUUUAUAAAAUCACGUUUACAUAUUAUUUGUUUCUUUCAUCACUUGGAGCUUUCAUUCUUGGUUCUUUCUCAUGUUCACAUAAUGUAAGGAGAUCAUGAUGGUCAAGGUGUGAUCAUCUCGUGGGUAACGCCAUU
rnacentral:sRNA from 1 species